CCCCUCCAGAUGUUGCUGAACUACAACUUCCAUGAUUCUCAGCCUAUCUAUUUAAUUAACUGAAUCAUGGGAGUUGUAGUUCAGCAACAUCUGGGGGGG
rnacentral:miRNA from 1 species